rnacentral:piRNA from 1 species
UAUGUGAGACUCAACGAUCUGCAGGUGU